GACACGGUCCAAACUCCUACGGGAGGCAGCAGUGGGGAAUAUUGCACAAUGGGCGAAAGCCUGAUGCAGCAACGCCGCGUGAGUGAUGAAGGCCUUCGGGUCGUAAAACUCUGUCCUCAAGGAAGAUAAUGACGGUACUUGAGGAGGAAGCCCCGGCUAACUACGUGCCAGCAGCCGCGGUAAUACGUAGGGGGCUAGCGUUAUCCGGAUUUACUGGGCGUAAAGGGUGCGUAGGCGGUCUUUCAAGUCAGGAGUGAAAGGCUACGGCUCAACCGUAGUAAGCUCUUGAAACUGGGAGACUUGAGUGCAGGAGAGGAGAGUGGAAUUCCUAGUGUAGCGGUGAAAUGCGUAGAUAUUAGGAGGAACACCAGUUGCGAAGGCGGCUCUCUGGACUGUAACUGACGCUGAGGCACGAAAGCGUGGGGAGCAAACAGGAUUAGAUACCCUGGUAGUCCACGCUGUAAACGAUGAGUAC
rnacentral:rRNA from 1 species